UACGAAGGGGGCUAGCGUUGCUCGGAAUCACUGGGCGUAAAGCGCACGUAGGCGGAUUGUUAAGUCAGGGGUGAAAUCCUGGAGCUCAACUCCAGAACUGCCUUUGAUACUGACGGUCUUGAGUUCGGGAGAGGUGAGUGGAACUCCGAGUGUAGAGGUGAAAUUCGUAGAUAUUCGGAAGAACACCAGUGGCGAAGGCGGCUCACUGGACUGGUAUUGACGCUGAGGUGCGAAAGCGUGGGGAGCAAACAGG
rnacentral:rRNA from 1 species